GUAGGUGGCAAGCGUUGUCCGGAAUUAUUGGGCGUAAAGCGCGCGCAGGUGGGUUCUUUAAGUCUGAUGUGAAAGACCCCCGGGCUCAACCGGGGAGGGUCAUUGGAAACUGGGGAACUUGAGUGCAGGAGAGGAAAGUGGAAUUCCACGUGUAGCGGUGAAAUGCGUAGAUAUGUGGAGGAACACCAGUGGCGAAGGCGACUUUCUGGCCUGUAACUGACACUGAGGCGCAAAAGCGUGGGGAGCAAACAGGAUUAGAUACCCUGGUAGUCCACGCCGUAAACGAUGAGUGCUAAGUGUUGGGGGGUUUCCGCCCCUCAGUGCUGCAGCUAACGCAUUAAGCACUCCGCCUGGGGAGUACGGUCGCAAGACUG
rnacentral:rRNA from 1 species